UGAUGAUGGUGAGGGUAAUUUCUGAGCAUAUCAUUAAAUCUCUCCCAAGCUUGUUAGAGAUUCUCUUAUUCUUUCUGUCUGAAACUCAAGAUCUCACUCCUCAAGCA